UACGUAUGUCGCAAGCGUUAUCCGGAUUUAUUGGGCGUAAAGCGCGUCUAGGCGGCAAGGAAAGUCUGAUGUGAAAAUGCGGGGCUCAACUCCGUAUUGCGUUGGAAACUGCCUUACUAGAGUACUGGAGAGGUAGGCGGAACUACAAGUGUAGAGGUGAAAUUCGUAGAUAUUUGUAGGAAUGCCGAUGGGGAAGCCAGCCUACUGGACAGAUACUGACGCUAAAGCGCGAAAGCGUGGGUAGCAAACAGG
rnacentral:rRNA from 1 species